rnacentral:tRNA from 1 species
GCCCGGGUGGCGGAAUCUGGCAGACGCGCACGGUUCAGGUCCGUGUGCCGAAAGGCGUGCGGGUUCGAACCCCGCCCCGGGCACCA